GAUGAUGAUGAUGAUGAUGAUGAGCCAGGUAGGAAACUCUCAUCCCUAAAAAUGAAAUAGUAAUACUAGAGAACUCUUCAAUAAAGCAACUCAAAUUGCUUGUGUAAAUUGAGGGGCACUGGAACCUGCCUCAACUGAUAAGCAUUACCUACUGAUGACUUCACUAUCCAAGCAGUUUUCAAGAUCACUCUCUCACAUUGCCUCAUUUUCCUCGAGUGAUCAUUGCUUCUAUGCUAUACCUUCUUUUUUUAUUAUUAUUAUUAAAGACAAAAAAAAAAAAAGAUUAAUUUGAAGAUUGAGAAAGAUCUUACAAACCCUUCUUUCUCUGGUCUUGGUUUUGGGACCCACAAACAUUCUCCUAGGCAAGUGUGCUAGAGAAUAAUUCACCCCACUAUAAGUCUGAUCCAUCUAGAUCUAGAGUCUCUAUAAAAUCUAUAUAAAUUUAGUUCAUUUUUGUUUCUUUGCUGUAACCCACUUAGAGUGCAUAAUUAACUGGCAAAAAUAUUGUAUAUACCAGCUCCUCAGCCCCUCUAUUAUGGGAUUUGAGGGGUCUUUUUCCUGUCAAAUUUAGAGCUUUAUGACCCCAUUAACCCUACCUUGCUUUUUCCCAUGGGCAGUUUAGGUACCCACAUCUACAUGCAUCAGACUAUUCAUUUUCCUUCUAUACAAAGGGUGGAGCCUAUAUAAUUCAAAGUUUCAUCACCAAGAUAGCUAUAUCUGGGUAAAAUUGAAUAUAAAAGGGAGGGUGGAAAUAAGGAAAAAGCAUUGCUUUAAUAUACUUUUUCCAAAACAAAAUUGUA
rnacentral:misc_RNA from 1 species